rnacentral:rRNA from 1 species
UACGUAGGGUGCAAGCGUUGUCCGGAAUUAUUGGGCGUAAAGGGCUCGUAGGCGGUUUGUCGCGUCGGGAGUGAAACUCAGGGCUUAACCCUGAGCCUGCUUCCGAUACGGGCAGACUAGAGGUAUGCAGGGGAGAAUGGAAUUCCUGGUGUAGCGGUGAAAUGCGCAGAUAUCAGGAGGAACACCGGUGGCGAAGGCGGUCUCUGGGCAUUACCUGACGCUGAGGAGCGAAAGUGUGGGGAGCGAACAGG